CAAAGUUAUCCGAUCUUCAGUAAAUAUAUAACAUUGUAAUUUCGUAAAAUAAGUUAAAAAAAACAUGAAAUUAAUUAAUUUAAUUAUUGUAAUCGUUUGCAUAAUUAUCGGUUCAAAGGAAGUUCAGGGGAAUAAUGGAAAACAUGUGAUAUUCACCACAUUUCCGAAUUGCUGUAAAUAAGUAGUGAAUGAGAGACUGGAUAAAAGAUCAUAUGUACCCUAAAGUUGUGUUUAUUUAUAUUAAAUUAAAUUCAAAUAGGGAGGAUUUAUGAUCUUUCUUUGUUGAAUAAUUAAAAUUAUAAUUUUGCAAUUAAACAAAUGAGAUGUACAUAUA